CCUACGGGGGUCAGCAGUGGGGAAUAUUGCGCCAUGGGCGAAAGCCUGACGCAGCGACGCCGCGUGAGGGAUGAAGGUCUUCGGAUCGUAAACCUCUGUCAGCAGGGAAGAACGGUCACUGUGCUAAUCAGCAGUGAAUUGACGGUACCUGCAAAGGAAGCACCGGCUAACUCCGUGCCAGCAGCCGCGGUAAUACGGAGGGUGCGAGCGUUAAUUGGAAUUACUGGGCGUAAAGCGCUCGUAUGCGGUAUGUCAAGUCAAGGGUGAAAUCCCCGCGCUCAACGUGGGAACUGCCUUUGAAACUGGCAAACUGGAGUGUGUGAGAGGAUAGUGGAAUUCCAGGUGUAUGAGUGAAAGCCGUAGAUAUCUGGAGGAACAUCAGUGGCGAAGGCGACUAUCUGGCACAUAACUGACGCUGAGGAGCGAAAGCGUGGGUAGCAAACAGGAUUAGAUACCCGAGUAGUC
rnacentral:rRNA from 1 species